rnacentral:rRNA from 1 species
UACGGAGGGUGCAAGCGUUAUCCGGAUUCACUGGGUUUAAAGGGUGCGUAGGAGGACUGGUAAGUCAGUGGUGAAAUCCCCGAGCUUAACUUGGGAACUGCCGUUGAUACUAUCAGUCUUGAAUACCGUGGAGGUGAGCGGAAUAUGUCAUGUAGCGGUGAAAUGCUUAGAUAUGACAUAGAACACCAAUUGCGAAGGCAGCUCGCUACACGAAUAUUGACACUGAGGCUCGAAAGCGUGGGGAUCAAACAGG